rnacentral:rRNA from 2 species
UGACCUCGGAUCAGGUAGGGAUACCCGCUGAACUUAAGCAUAUCAAUAAGCGGAGGAAAAGAAACCAACCGGGAUUGCCUCAGUAACGGCGAGUGAAGCGGCAAGAGCUCAAAUUUGAAAGCUGGCCCCUCCGGGGUCCGCGUUGUAAUUUGGAGAGGAUGCUUCGGGUGCAGCCCCCGUCUAAGUGCCCUGGAACGGGCCGUCGGAGAGGGUGAGAAUCCCGUCUGGGACGGGGUGUCUGCGUCCGUGUGAAGCUCCUUCGACGAGUCGAGUUGUUUGGGAAUGCAGCUCUAAAUGGGUGGUAAAUUUCAUCUAAAGCUAAAUACUGGCCGGAGACCGAUAGCGCACAAGUAGAGUGAUCGAAAGAUGAAAAGCACUUUGAAAAGAGAGUUAAACAGCACGUGAAAUUGUUGAAAGGGAAGCGCUUGCGACCAGACUCGCCGGCGGGGUUCAGCCGGGCUUCGGCCCGGUGUACUUCCCCGUCGGCGGGCCAGCGUCGGUUUGGGCGGCCGGUCAAAGGCCCCUGGAAGGUAGCGCCCCCCGGGGCGUCUUAUAGCCAGGGGUGCAAUGCGGCCUGCCCGGACCGAGGAACGCGCUUCGGCACGGACGCUGGCGUAAUGGUCGUAAGCGACC